CAGACCGUAGCCUUACACAUGCAAGUCGAACGGAAUCUUUAGGGAUUUAGUGGCGGACGGGUGAGUAACGCGUGAGAAUCUGGCUUCAGGUCUGGGACAACCACUGGAAACGGUGGCUAAUACCGGAUGUGCCGAGAGGUGAAAGGCUUGCUGCCUGAAGAUGAGCUUGCGUCUGAUUAGCUAGUUGGUGGGGUAAGAGCCUACCAAGGCGACGAUCAGUAGCUGGUCUGAGAGGAUGAUCAGCCACACUGGGACUGAGACACGGCCCAGACUCCUACGGGAGGCAGCAGUGGGGAAUUUUCCGCAAUGGGCGAAAGCCUGACGGAGCAAUACCGCGUGAGGGAGGAAGGCUCUUGGGUUGUAAACCUCUUUUCUCAGGGAAGAAAAAAAUGACGGUACCUGAGGAAUAAGCAUCGGCUAACUCCGUGCCAGCAGCCGCGGUAAUACGGAGGAUGCAAGCGUUAUCCGGAAUGAUUGGGCGUAAAGGGUCCGCAGGUGGCUGUGUAAGUCUGCUGUUAAAUAGUCAUGCUCAACAUGAUAAAGGCAGUGGAAACUACAUAGCUAGAGUGCGUUCGGGGCAGAGGGAAUUCCUGGUGUAGCGGUGAAAUGCGUAGAAAA
rnacentral:rRNA from 1 species